UACGUGGGGGGCGAGCGUUGUCCGGAGUUACUGGGCGUAAAGCGCACGCAGGCGGUUUCGUACGUCUGGAGUGACAGUUCCCGGCUCAACUGGGAAAGGUCUUCGGAAACGGCGAGACUUGAGGGCUUCAGAGGGACACGGAAUUCCGGGUGGAGUGGUGAAAUGCGUAGAGAUCCGGAGGAACACCAAUGGCGAAGGCAGUGUCCUGGGAAGCAUCUGACGCUCAGGUGCGAAAGCUAGGGGAGCGAACAGG
rnacentral:rRNA from 1 species